GUGGGGAAUCUUGCGCAAUGGGCGAAAGCCUGACGCAGCCAUGCCGCGUGAAUGAUGAAGGUCUUAGGAUUGUAAAAUUCUUUCACCGGGGACGAUAAUGACGGUACCCGGAGAAGAAGCCCCGGCUAACUUCGUGCCAGCAGCCGCGGUAAUACGAAGGGGGCUAGCGUUGCUCGGAAUUACUGGGCGUAAAGGGCGCGUAGGCGGACAGUUUAGUCAGAGGUGAAAGCCCAGGGCUCAACCUUGGAAGUGCCUUUGAUACUGGCUGUCUUGAGUACGUGAGAGAUGAGUGGAACUCCGAGUGUAGAGGUGAAAUUCGUAGAUAUUCGGAAGAACACCAGUGGCGAAGGCGACUCACUGGCCCGUUACUGACGCUGAGGCGCGAAAGCGUGGGGAGCAAACAGGAUUAGAAACCCGGGUAGUCC
rnacentral:rRNA from 1 species